UGCAAGGUUGCUCAGUUGGUAGGGCAGGCGAACAUGUGCAGAGGCUGUAGUCCUCGAUGCGGAUGUCCUGGGUUUGAUUCCCAGUCUCAGGCCA